rfam:Octopus bimaculoides Scaffold256_contig_149, whole genome shotgun sequence.
AGCAGUUUAGCUUAGUGGUAGAGCACUUGACUGGAAAUCAAAGGGGUGUGAAUUCGAUUCUCAUAGCUAGUU